rnacentral:rRNA from 1 species
ACGGAAGGCAGCAGUGGGGAAUUUUGCGCAAUGGGGGAAACCCUGACGCAGCAACGCCGCGUGCGGGAUGGAGGCCUUCGGGCUGUGAACCGCUUUCAGCAGGGAAGACUUUGACGGUACCUGCAGAAGAAGCCCCGGCUAACUACGUGCCAGCAGCCGCGGUAAUACGUAGGGGGCGAGCGUUAUCCGGAUUCAUUGGGCGUAAAGCGCGCGUAGGCGGCUGCCUAAGCGGGACUUCUAACCUGGGGGCUCAACCUCCAGCCGGGUCCCGAACUGGGCGGCUCGAGUGCGGUAGGGGCAGGCGGAAUUCCACGUGUAGCGGUGAAAUGCGCAGAUAUGUGGAGGAACACCGAUGGCGAAGGCAGCCUGCUGGGCCGUCACUGACGCUGAGGCGCGAAAGCUAGGGGAGCGAACAGGAUUAGAUACCCUGGUA